rnacentral:rRNA from 1 species
CCGAGUUGUAAUCUAGAGAAGCGUUUUCCGCGCUGGACCGUGUACAAGUCUCCUGGAAGGGAGCGUCAUAGAGGGUGAGAAUCCCGUCUUUGACACGGACGACCAAGUGCUAUGUGAUGCGCUCUCGACGAGUCGAGUUGUUUGGGAAUGCAGCUCAAAACGGGUGGUAAAUUCCAUCUAAAGCUAAAUACAGGCGAGAGACCGAUAGCGAACAAGUACCGUGAGGGAAAGAUGAAAAGAACUUUGGAAAGAGAGUUAAACAGUACGUGAAAUUGCUGAAAGGGAAACGCUUGAUGUCAGUCGCGUCGGCCGGGGAUCAACCUUGCUUCUCGCUGGGUGUACUUCCYGGUCGACGGGUCAGCAUCGGUUUCGGUCGCCGUACAAUGGCGAGGGGAAUGUGGCACCCUUCGGGGUGUGUUAUAGCCUUUCGUCGUAUGCGGUGGUCGGGACCGAGGAACUCGGCACGGCUUCGGUCUGUGCUUAGGAUGCUGGCAUAAUGGCCUUAAGCGACCCGUCUUGAAACACGGACCAAGGAGUCUAACAUGCCUGCGAGUGUUUGGGUGGCAAACCCAAGCGCGAAAUGAAAGUGAAAGUCGAGACCUCUGUCGUGGAGGGCAUCGACGCCCGGACCUGAGUCUUUGACGACGGAUCUGCGGUAGAGCAUGUAUGUUGGGACCCGAAAGAUGGUGAACUAUGCCUGAAUAGGGUGAAGCCAGAGGAAACUCUGGUGGAGGCUCGUAGCGAUU